rnacentral:lncRNA from 1 species
CUCAGGACCCGACGCGUGGUUUGCUCCUGGAUGGCCUCAUAAUGGGGGCUGGUUGCCAGGGGAACCAACCUUGUGAUUAGAAGGUUGAAACUUUCAGCCCCACCCCUGACCUCCAGGGAGCCGGGAGAGGCUGAAGGCUGAGUUGAUCACCCGUGGCCAAUGAUUUAAUCAGUCAUGGCUAGCUGUCCAAACAACUAGUGGCCACCAGGGCACCCGCAGUCUCCUCCCUUGUGUCCCUGAAGCUCAUCAAGAGUUGCUCAACAGCCCGCAGAACCACGUGCCUGUCUCAUUGUCCUUAUCUUCCCAUUUCAAGGAAGUCAUCUCCAUUUGGCUGUCUGGAGGGCUCAGUGAGGUGAUGUGACUAAAGCACAGUAUCUGGCUCCUGAAAAGAACUUCAAAAAUAGUAGCCUGUGCCUGAGACUGAGGCAGACCUGGAUCUUUGGGCCCUAACAGAACUACUGGAGGACAAAUUCCCAAAGGAAUCACUAAAUGAUGGCUAUUUCAUUUCAUCAAGACUGAGGUAUCAUGUCAACCCAUUUCUAGGACAAAACUUCAGCUGCUGUCUUGGUCUGCUUUAUCCACACCUGACCUGUCACUUACAAUGUACAUUCUGAGGACCAACAUCUCCAAACAUUGUCCUGGGGCAGGAGCAUCCUCCUUACUAGAAAGCUCAGGGCCUCUGAAUCAGAAUCUGCAUCACAACAAGAUCCCCAGAAUACUGAAGUUUGAGAAGCUCUGGUCUACAUUAGAUGGUUUUCUAAUGGCUCCCUGUUGCCACUGAUAAUAAAGCUCUCUUGUCUUUACCAGAGCUACAAGUCAUCCCUGACUCUCUUCGUCUUCCUUAUUGCCCUUAAUUUCUUCAUUCUUUAGGAUCUGCCCUCAGUGCUACUGGUUUUAUUGUCAUUAAAAAAUAUUAACGCAAUGC